GACGAACGCUGGCGGCGUGCCUAACACAUGCAAGUCGAGCGGAGAUAAUUAAAAGCUUGCUUUUGAUUAUCUUAGCGGCGGACGGGUGAGUAACGCGUGGGCAACCUGCCUUUCACAGGGGGAGAACACAGGGAAACUUGUGCUAAUACCGCAUAACACAACGAGAAAGCAUUUUCUUGUUGUCAAAGGAGUAAUCCGGUGAUAGAUGGGCUCGCGUCCAAUUAGCUAGUUGGUGGUGUCACGGACCACCAAGGCGACGAUUGGUAGCCGAACUGAGAGGUUGAUCGGCCACAUUGGGACUGAGACACGGCCCAGACUCCUACGGGAGGCAGCAGUGGGGAAUAUUGCACAAUGAGGGAAACCCUGAUGCAGCAACGCCGCGUGAAGGAUGAAGGUUUUCGGAUUGUAAACUUCUUUAGUCAGGGACGAAUAAAUGACGGUACCUGAAGAAUAAGCCACGGCUAACUACGUGCCAGCAGCCGCCGUAAUAC
rnacentral:rRNA from 1 species